AGAGUCACCCGGACGGCCGCGGCGGGUUCGCCCCGUCGAGGAAAGUCCGGACUCCGCAGGGCAUGGUGGUGGCUAACGGCCACCGGGGGCGACCCCAGGGAAAGUGCCACAGAAAGCAAACCGCCUAAGCGGCUUCGGCCGCCGGUAAGGGUGAAAGGGUGCGGUAAGAGCGCACCGCGCGGCUGGUGACAGGCGUGGCAGGGUAAACCCCACCAGGAGAAAGCCCAUGUAGGGAGGGAAGGCACUGCCCGUGCCGUUCUUACCUCCGGGUAGGGCGUUCCAGGGUCGUGGCGACACGGCUCGCAGAGAAAUGGCCGUCGCCCCGCUUCGGCGGGUGGCACAGAAUCCGGCUUACAGGGUGACUCUCACU
rnacentral:RNase_P_RNA from 1 species